UACGUAGGGUGCAAGCGUUGUCCGGAAUUAUUGGGCGUAAAGAGCUCGUAGGCGGUUUGUCGCGUCUGCUGUGAAAACUCGGGGCUCAACUCCGAGCUUGCAGUGGGUACGGGCAGACUAGAGUGAUGUAGGGGAGACUGGAAUUCCUGGUGUAGCGGUGAAAUGCGCAGAUAUCAGGAGGAACACCGAUGGCGAAGGCAGGUCUCUGGGCAUUAACUGACGCUGAGGAGCGAAAGCGUGGGGAGCAAACAGG
rnacentral:rRNA from 1 species